rnacentral:lncRNA from 1 species
UAAUCUUAUUGAUACUUAUAUAUUUGUGGUGAGCUCCAUAGAGCUAAGUACAAGCAUGCUGACCAUAGGUCAUGUUUAGUUUAUCCUGCUCUUGAGAAACUAGUCUAUACAAAUAGCUCAGAACUCUUUGUCAAUCCUUGCUUGAUCCUGCUGUUGAGAAACUAGUCUAUACAAAUAGCUCAGAAUUCUUUGUCAAUCCUUGCUUGAUUCUAGUUGGAUGAGCCAGUAUGGAACCAAACACCAGCUAGUAAUGAAUGAUUUGUUUGGUCCCUAAUGAGAUAGUUAGAUGUUAUAAAACGCAAAUUAAGUAGAAGGCUUUGUCAUUGUUUUAGAAAAGAAUAAAAGCAAACAAG